GAUAAUAUUAAUAAGACUUUUUUGUCUUAAUGUAUAUGAAUUUGUAAAGGAAAGAGGAAUACCCAAUAUAUUGGUUUUGGUUUUUCCGACCAUUAUAUUGGGUAACUCAAUUGGGUACCAGGGGUCUUGAAAACCCCUCGAUUGGGUAAGCAUACUCAGUUGGUCUAAAAACCCAAUAUGGUAAGGAAAGAGAAAUACUUAAUAUAUGGGUCUUCAAAAUCCAUGGGUAUUUCUYUUUUUUUUUUUUUGCUUUGUUUGAUCCCUAUUUUGUUUUUUUCUUCAUUACAGAUUUAUUAUCGUUAUCGUUUCUUGCAUCUCUCGCGAAAUUCCGGGUAGGGCGCGAAUUCUCCCAAUUUUGUGACCUAUCAUAGAAUCUGUUAUAUAAAUAGGGAAAUGUUCCUUUCCAUUAUGAAUACCGAUUGUAUGGCCAACCAUUGGGGGUAUAAUGGUAGAUGCCCGAGACCAAGUGACUAUUAUUUCUUUCUCCUCCCCCAUUUUUAUUUUUUGAAUUUUUUCUGAUAAAUGCUUAGCUACAAAUCUGUCUUUUGCUACAAAUCUUUUUUUUUGAUGUAUCACAGCUGAUUACUCCUUUUUUUCCAUGUUUGUUAAAGAUUGGCAUUCUAUGUCCAAUAUCUCGAUCUAAGUAUAGAGGUCAG
rnacentral:misc_RNA from 1 species